UACGAGGGGGGCAAAUGUUGUUCGGAAUCACUGGGCGUAAAGGGAGCGUAGGCGGGUUUCUAAGUCAGGUGUUUAAUCCCGGGGCCCAACCCCGGACAGGCACUUGAAACUGGGAAUCUUGAAUAGUGGAGAGGUCAGUGGAAUUGGGGGUGUAGCGGUGGAAUGCGUAGAGAUCCCCAAGAACACCAGUUGCGAAGGCGGCUGACUGGACACAUAUUGACGCUGAGGCUCGAAAGCUAGGGGGAGCGAACAGG
rnacentral:rRNA from 1 species